UUUCCGUAGGUGAACCUGCGGAAGGAUCAUUCACAAUAAGUGUUUUAUGGCACUUUUUCAAUCCAUAUCCACCUUGUGUGCAAUGUUGUCUUGUAGUGCGAAUGCUAGUCAUUUGCGCUACAGGAUGUAAACAUCGACUCUUAUCUUUAACAACUUUGUCUAAAACCUGUAUGAAUACUUAAUUCAAAUACAACUUUCAACAACGGAUCUCUUGGCUCUA
rnacentral:misc_RNA from 1 species